rnacentral:lncRNA from 1 species
GUGCGGCGCGUGCGCACAGGACGGGACGGGAGGGCGGAGCGACUGCGCAGAUCAGGAAAAUUGUCACCUCUGGCCUCAGGGAAACUGAGGCUCUGAGCAGUUAAGAGGCCAACGAUCCAGGUUUAUGCUAUCAGUGUCUGAGAUACAAUUAAGUCACCUUUUUGGGUGACAUUUCCCUUGACUAGUACCUCAAGAUUAUGAUCCAGGUGGACCAUCCCUCCAUUGCCUCCAGACAUGUCUAUGACGCUACCUAGGGAUUGUGAAGAUUUACCACCUGGUGGAAAAUUAAAAAAAAAAAGACUUAUUCUGCAAAUUGACCAAGCUUAAGAGAUACAGCACUGAGAAUUCACCCACUACAGAGCUGGUAACCAGGCCUUCAGAGUAAGCUGUGAUGUAUAGCCAUUCUCCUCAGCAGCCUGUUUGACUGAGGGAUAUAGGAAUGACUGCCCUUACCCAUGUUUUUGUUCAGAUUUAUGGUUCUAAAUCUGAUGGAAAAUCUAUCAUUGGACCAUUUGAUUCUUCCUAAAGAAAGGCCAAACCACCUGUCAAACCCACGAGCAACACAGCAAUGGCUAAGCUGAAGAAGCCAAGUUAUAUGUCUAGCUCCUCUGUGGGUGGCAGGAUCCAGCUGUGGGGAGUCCAAGGUUCCUUGUGUUCUUCUGGCUUGACUAUGAUAUUUCCAAUUUGGAGGCACAAAGAAUUGAGAACUUGGGGAUCCACUGAGGUCUGAGGCAUGGUGGUACCAGAAGAAAUAAAGGGGCCAUCAGCAUGAAGCUGGUCUCCCAUUGACAGCACCCUGACUUCUCCAUCAGGUUCUAUCAGCAUGUCUACUGUGAGGUUGGUGACGCUGUCUGCAGAGGUCAGAAGAGGGCUUCGGAUCCACUGGCGCUGAACUGAUACAUGCUUCUGAGCCUUGAUAUGGGCGCUGGGAACUGAACCUGGGUCCUCUACAAGAACAAUGGACUUUAAGGAAGGAUCUGAACGCCAGCCAGUGCCGCAUGAUGCUCCUGAGAUCUUCCAUUCUUCCAAGAACAACCAUAGCAUAUACAAGACAGCACACCACCGUCGCCACCGCCAGUGCCGCUGUACUGGUGGGAUACAUACACUUUCCAGCUUGUGAAUCGGGAGGCACACUUUCAAACAAAAACACUCUGUACAGCCUCAAGAGAAGGCUGCCUGCAACUGCUAGAGGUGGAGACACCACACAUGCUAUCGCAGUCCUUGGGUAAUAACUGUGUGUCAUAAAUAGGAUGUGGCAUUUCAGAAUGUCUUUAAAGCUAUUUCCUUUUGUUCAACUAAUUUAAUUUACCAAAUGCUCCUGGGGAAAGGGAGGGGGAUCAAGAUGCUGACUCCACAUUUCCUGGGGGGGGGGGGGGAGAAUCACCAUUUCCUU